rnacentral:rRNA from 1 species
AGAGUUUGAUCAUGGCUCAGGACGAACGUUGGCGGCGUGCUUAAUACAUGCAAGUCAACUGAAGCACCGGUAGUAAUACUGGUGUGGAGGUGGCGCACGGGUGAGUAACACGUAGGUAAUCUGCCUUCAGGUCUGACAUAACCCCGAGAAAUCGGGGCUAAUAGCAGAUGAUGCAGCGGCUUGACAUCAAGACAGUUGUUAAAGCUUCGGCGCCUGAAGAUGAGCCUGCGUCUGAUUAGCUAGUUGGCGGAGUAACAGCCCACCAAGGCUACGAUCAGUAGCUGGUCUGAGAGGAUGAUCAGCCACACUGGAACUGAGACACGGUCCAGACUCCUACGGGAGGCAGCAGUAAGGAAUAUUGCUCAAUGGGAGAAAUCCUGAAGCAGCAACGCCGCGUGAGGGAUGAAGGGCUUUUGCUUGUAAACCUCUGUAGUGAGAGAAAAAAACUCCAAUCUUUGGAGCAUGAUGGUUCUCAAAAG